rnacentral:rRNA from 1 species
ACGAACGCUGGCGGCGUGCCUAAUACAUGCAAGUCGAACGCUUCUUUCCUCCCGAGUGCUUGCACUCAAUUGGAAAGAGGAGUGGCGGACGGGUGAGUAACACGUGGGUAACCUACCCAUCAGAGGGGGAUAUCACUUGGAAACAGGUGCUAAUACCGCAUAACAGUUUAUGCCGCAUGGCAUAAGAGUGAAAGGCGCUUUCGGGUGUCGUUGAUGGAUGGACCCGCGGUGCAUUAGCUAGUUGGUGAGGUAACGGCUCACCAAGGCCACGAUGCAUAGCCGACCUGAGAGGGUGAUCGGCCACACUGGGACUGAGACACGGCCCAGACUCCUACGGGAGGCAGCAGUAGGGAAUCUUCGGCAAUGGACGAAAGUCUGACCGAGCAACGCCGCGUGAGUGAAGAAGGUUUUCGGAUCGUAAAACUCUGUUGUUAGAGAAGAACAAGGACGUUAGUAACUGAACGUCCCCUGACGGUAUCUAACCAGAAAGCCACGGCUAACUACGUG